ACCCUAGAGGAAAAGGUUAAAGAUUUUUCUAUUGCUAACUUAAAAUCUAGAAAGGUGAAUCUUCAUAAUAGUUGUAGAUUUAAUUUGCCCCUUCAUUGUUGUCGUCAUAUUAGACUUUUUAUAUUUUUCUAAAGAAGAAUGCCGGUAGCAUAUGCAAUGCUUCCACGUGUUAUGUUAAAUAUAGAUGCAUCCCAUUCCCUUAUCUGAAGUCGACCAAUUAAUAUGGUGCC
rnacentral:lncRNA from 1 species